CAUCCGGUCGAUCCUGCCGGAAUCCGACGCUCUCCCCAAGGACACAAGCCAUGCAUGCCCGCGCACCCGGGAGGCGGCGGACGGCUCAGGACAACGGUUGCACCCCCCGCGGCGGUCCCUGCUAGCCGGACACCGCUGGCAACCCGGCGCCAAGACGUGCGCGCAAGGGCGGGCGCCCGCGGGCGAGCAGCGUGACGCAGCGACGGCCCGCCCGGGCUUCUGGGGCAUCACCCGGUCGGCGCGGUCGCGGCGCGCCGAGGGCCCGACGCCUGGCGGAGAAUCAGGGUUCGAC
rnacentral:rRNA from 1 species